UCUUGUUUGUGUAUAACAAAGACUUUUUUGUUUAAUCUUCUGUGAAACACCCUCAGGAAGGACCACAUGUUGGUUACCUGAACACCAGUUGACAGGUGAAGCAGCAACAACACACUCUUUCUAUAAUGUCUGACCAUGUGGCGGCCAUAUUGGAAGACUUCAGCUUUGUACUUCUGAACGCAUCUCCAAAGUAGUGACAGUCUUCCGGAAAGCUCCACGCGGCUGCAGACUCCUUGUGGCGACUAACGGCGUGAACAACAAACCCGCACAGCUGCUUCUCCAACACCUCCACCACCACCGGGGCGUUUCCCUUCUUCCCCUGGCCCUCCAUCACCUGCCGGAUGCAGUCGCGAGGCACCGGCUGCGGUUUAGUGCUGUACGACACCACCAGGUUGAUGUUGUUUACCUGCAGCACCUCGAACCAGUUCUGUCCCGCCACGUGGUGAAAGUGCUCCCCUGCUCGCCAGUUCCGGAGGUGCUUGGCGUCUAAUUUUGCUUGCUCCGGGAAGGCAGCGAUACAGGACUCGAUGGUUGUCUUCAUCCUGGACUCAACUUCUUCAAUUUUGCUGCUCCACUCUAGGAUUUUGUCGUCUUCUUCAUCUUGGCCCUGGGUUAAGGCACAGUGGCCCAGCAGAGCAAUCAGGCCCAAACAGAAGAGCUCCUUCAUCCGGACACAGAAAUCUUCAAGGAGACGACGGUUCCUCGCUACAUACCUGCAAAACAGAGGAAGGAGUUUAUCUGGUGCUCCAAUACCGAGGAACUGCAGUGAUAAUGGUGUCAAAAACCUGCACAGAAGCAAUAAAUAAAAUUUGCAGUGAAUCCAGAAACGUAAAUGUGAUGAAAUAUAACGGUUUACCUUUCGACCACCUCUAAAACUGACUCUCCAAAGCUGUUCGUUCCCAUCAGAGCAUCAUACAGCACAAAUAGGUUCUUCUCUCCUCCAGUUUUGGCAAAGUGCUCCACAAAAAGUCUGGUCUUGACCUCCCUGAACUGCUGUUUUGCCUCCAAGAUGUCCAUAUACUUCCGAAACUGGUUCCUAAUGUUCUCCUCCACUGAGAAGUACUGGGAAUCCAGUCUCCCCUUCUUGAUCUCGCUGUCAAUGUCUUCCAGUUGCGUGGAGAGCACGUCAAGCUUGUUCCUCACCGUCAGGAACUGCUCUUUAACGUAGAAGACCUCUUUGCUGUGGACGUUGUCUAAGGCCAGGCGGAGAACCGGGGCGGCGGCCUCACACAGGGGGAAGAGCUCGCCCACAGCGCUGGCCAACACCUCGGCCCCCUUCUCAAACAUAUCCAUCACUGCCUCGAUGGCCUCCUUCUUCUGGGCCACAGCCCUCUCCAAUGAAGUGCUCAUGUUCUGAGAGACAGAGGGACACAAUCUGGAGUCAGAUAUAAAUAAACCUUCUGGAGAAAGAAGAAGUGAAGUGGCAAAAGGGAUCAAAGACUUUAUUCUGUUUAUUCAUGACAUCUCAGAUGGUUUCAUUUGAAUAAUUAAUACAUCUUCUGGCCUCUAUUUCACAAGCAAAAUGCAAAGUUUAGAUAAAAGGGCAAAAAGGAAUACGAUAUUUGUGUUGCAGAGCAACUUAACAUAGCUAAUUACUAAAGAGAAUAGAAGCUAAAUGCUUUUCAAAGAAUCUUGACCUCUGUUCCUUUUUUUUCAUAAAACUCACUAGUA